rnacentral:rRNA from 1 species
GACGAACGCUGGCGGCGUGCUUAACACAUGCAAGUCGAACGGAAAGGCCCUGCUUUUGUGGGGUGCUCGAGUGGCGAACGGGUGAGUAACACGUGAGUAACCUGCCCUUGACUUUGGGAUAACUUCAGGAAACUGGGGCUAAUACCGGAUAGGAGCUCCUGCUGCAUGGUGGGGGUUGGAAAGUUUCGGCGGUUGGGGAUGGACUCGCGGCUUAUCAGCUUGUUGGUGGGGUAGUGGCUUACCAAGGCUUUGACGGGUAGCCGGCCUGAGAGGGUGACCGGCCACAUUAGGACUGAGAUACGGCCCAGACACCUACGGGAGACAGCAGUGGGGAAUAUUGCACAAUGGGCGGAAGCCUGAUGCAGCAACGCCGCGUGCGGGAUGACGGCCUGCGGGUUGUAAACCGCUUUCGCCUGUGACGAAGCGUGAGUGACGGUAAUGGGUAAAGAAGCACCGGCUAACUACGUG